UCUCUCUCAUCUCGUACCAACAAACACACACAAUCUUACACACACACACACACACACUAUCCACGGUCACCAUCCACCAUCUCCAACCACCACCUAGGGCGGAGCACGUUUCGACAGAACACACACACACACUUUUUCCCUCUAUCUGUUCGAUAAGCAAUCACUGGUAUGGGGACAACGGCGACUACAUCCUUUGGUGCUUCAAGAGGUAAGGCCCACUUUUUUGUACAUGCAUAUGAGAAAUCAUCAAAGUAAUGCGUCAUCCACCUAAAAUCAUAAAACUUCUUUAGUUCAUCUAGAAAGCUAUCCAUUGGUAGUGUUGAAACAUACAUACAUACCAAGAAAUUAGCUGCUGCGAAGAUAUCAAAUGCUGUCAGAAUUCCUAGAUGGACUCUGGCAAAACCUUCUGUAACUAGUCCUAGAAGGCAUAUAAUCUGAGGGAGUUCAAGUCGUGAUCUGGGAGUGCUUCCAUCAGGACCACCAGGGAGAGGUAAAACACUAUUUUCAAUGACACUAUAGAAAAAGAGAGUGGAAUGCCAUUUGUAUUAGCGUCAAGUGCAAAAUUCCUAAAUAGUAUAAAAGUGGCGCUUCACAGAUAAAUCAAAUGCCCUUCCCUCUGGAUAUUGUGAGACUAUGGAUGCGGCUGGAAGGAGCUGGUGGUCGGGCUUGGGUUUAUAAGACUGGUGUGUUUGGAAGGUAUAGAGUAAGAGACAUGCUACAAGUUGAAUGUCUACGUGGCUCAGAGGAAUUUGUCCUGAAUAUUAUAAGGGGGUACCUUGCAUCGGCAUUGUGUUCAUGACCUAUGAGAAACUUAAACAAGUGUUAUCAGAUAUAUAUGCUUAGUAAUAUAUGCUUAGUUCCUUACUGAUAGCUAUGGGACCAGAUUGCUAUUUUAGCUAAAACAAUUGGAAGAUUAAAACAAGGAAGCCUGGGUAUUUAGUGUUUUCAGUUAUCAUUAAACCAUUUAUCAUUGUCAUUGUAUUACCUAUAAAACUAGCAUAUCCCUUGUACACAUUAAUAGAGAAAAGGGCAGAAAUGUCACACCCCGUUGUAGCGGAAA